GCCCGGUUAGCUCAGUUGGUAGAGAUUCAGGCUUUUAAUCUGAGGGCUAUGGGUUCGAGUCCCAUAUCGGGCU
rnacentral:tRNA from 1 species